GCAUCGCGAUAGCUUGCUAUUGCGGAUGGCGACCGGCGCACGGGUGAGUAACGCGUAUCCAACCUUCCCGCAACUGGGGAAUAACCUUGCGAAAGUAAGACUAAUACCCCAUGGUCUCCACGGAUGGCAUCUGAAGUGGAGUAAAGGUUUCGGCCGGUUGCGGAUGGGGAUGCGUCCGAUUAGCUUGACGGCGGGGUAACGGCCCACCGUGGCAUCGAUCGGUAGGGGUUCUGAGAGGAAGGUCCCCCACAUUGGAACUGAGACACGGUCCAAACUCCUACGGGAGGCAGCAGUGAGGAAUAUUGGUCAAUGGGCGGAAGCCUGAACCAGCCAAGUAGCGUGAAGGACGACUGCCCUAUGGGUUGUAAACUUCUUUUAUGCGGGGAUAAAGUUCGCCACGUGUGGCGUUUUGCAGGUACCGCAUGAAUAAGGACCGGCUAAUUCCGUGCCAGCAGCCGCGGUAAUACGGAAGGUCCAGGCGUUAUCCGGAUUCAUUGGGUUUAAAGGGAGCGUAGGCCGCCUUUUAAGCGUGUUGUGAAAUGUAGGGGCUCAACCCCUGCACUGCAGCGCGAACUGGAGGGCUUGAGUACACACAAAGUAGGCGAAAUUCAUGGUGUAGCGGUGAAAUGCUUAGAUAUCAUGAAGAACCCCGAUUGCGAAGGCAGCUUACUGGAGUGUAACUGACGCUGAAGCUCGAAAGCGCGGGUAUCGAACAGGAUUAGAUACCCUGGUAGUCCGCGCGGUAAACGAUGGGUGCCCGCUGUUUGCCAAUUU
rnacentral:rRNA from 1 species